CUGAACACCACCGACGGUUCGUCUCUUUGGUUGACAAGCAAUUGACUUUUUUUUCAUUAUUAAAAGGGAACUGCCUCCUAGAACCUUCUCUGGUUAUAAAGGACUAUAUGGCAUCGAUAUGACAACCGUCAAAAACAUUCAUUCUAGUGACAACAUUGGAUAAUGAAUAGGAUCAUUUUGGUCAUAAAAUCAGUCUCGUCCAAAACGAGAUUUGCAAGUGAGUGCGUCACAACAGGUAUGUAUGGAUUUUACCAAUGAUGUCUGAUUGUCCAGAGACAACAAACAAGGCCGUGGUCCUGCCACAAGCUGACAUGUGUUGUGGACAUGUUGUCAAGUCUGCAAUGCACGCACACUUGCUAGGCAUAGGAGUGAAAAUUGGGCUUCCAUAAAGUUGAUGCAAACUUGAAUUACAUUCAACAAUAUUGUGCAAGAUGGCAAGGAACAAACAUUGAUGGCUGUGACUGGUGUGAGCUAGCUACAGUGAUCUUUAAAUGUACCACAGAAGAACCAAGCAAUGAAGAGCAACGCAACGGCUGACUUUUUUGAGCUUUUAUGUAGAUCUGCAAUUAUAUUAUGAAAAGAGAAGACAGGAAGAUCAUCAGUCUCCAAUGCACCAUCUGACAAGUUGUUCUAUAGAGGAGUGUGAGGAAAGCAGUGUCGUCGGGAACCCCUCCAACCAUAUCAGGAGUAGAAGGCUGAGGCAGACCUUGGCAAGGCAACAGACACAUUUCAGAUGGAGGACGGGAGAGAUGGUUUGUCAUGGAGUCCCCUGAAACAGAUGUCUGAACUAGAGACCUUGCUCUCAGCAUUACAAUGAUACUAGUACUUGUCAUCAUCUUCUGUUAUUAUUGAAUUUAAUGGUAGGGGGGGGGGGACCCUGUGUAUUCUUCAAACUUGUCAGGGAACUGUCCUAUAUGGGACACCAUACGAAGGGAUACUGACUAAUAUGCAGCGGCAGGUAGCCUAGUGGUUAGAGUGUAGAGGUGGCAGGUAGCCUAGUGGUUAGAGUGUAGAGGUGGCAGGUAGCCUAGUGGUUAGAGC